AUUGAACGCUGGCGGCAUGCUUUACACAUGCAAGUCGAACGGUAACAGGCCGCAAGGUGCUGACGAGUGGCGAACGGGUGAGUAAUGCAUCGGAACGUGCCCAGUCGUGGGGGAUAACGCAGCGAAAGCUGCGCUAAUACCGCAUACGAUCUAUGGAUGAAAGCGGGGGACCGUAAGGCCUCGCGCGAUUGGAGCGGCCGAUGUCAGAUUAGGUAGUUGGUGGGGUAAAGGCUCACCAAGCCAACGAUCUGUAGCUGGUCUGAGAGGACGACCAGCCACACUGGGACUGAGACACGGCCCAGACUCCUACGGGAGGAAGCAGUGGGGAAUUUUGGACAAUGGGCGCAAGCCUGAUCCAGCAAUGCCGCGUGCAGGAUGAAGGCCUUCGGGUUGUAAACUGCUUUUGUACGGAGCGAAAAGGCUUCCACUAAUACUGGGGGCUCAUGACGGUACCGUAAGAAUAAGCACCGGCUAACUACGUGCCAGCCGCCGCGGUAAUAC
rnacentral:rRNA from 1 species